ACGGAAGGCAGCAGUGGGGAAUAUUGCACAAUGGGCGAAAGCUUGAUGCAGCGACGCCGCGUGAGUGAAGAAGUAUUUCGGUAUGUAAAGCUCUAUCAGCAGGGAAGAAAAAUGACGGUACCUGACUAAGAAGCACCGGCUAAAUACGUGCCAGCAGCCGCGGUAAUACGUAUGGUGCAAGCGUUAUCCGGAUUUACUGGGUGUAAAGGGAGCGCAGGCGGUACGGCAAGUCUGAUGUGAAAGCCCGGGGCUCAACCCCGGUACUGCAUUGGAAACUGUCGAACUAGAGUGUCGGAGGGGUAAGCGGAAUUCCUAGUGUAGCGGUGAAAUGCGUAGAUAUUAGGAGGAACACCAGUGGCGAAGGCGGCUUACUGGACGAUAACUGACGCUGAGGCUCGAAAGCGUGGGGAGCAAACAGGAUUAGAUACCCUGGUA
rnacentral:rRNA from 1 species